AGCAAACGUGAAGAGGACAGUUUGCCAUAUUAUGGGGCUAGAAGUAAAGGGAAGAUAUAGUACCGAUUCAGUCUCUCUUAGUGCUCAUGUGCAAUAUAUGCUUUGCAUAAGGAGCAAAGCUACAUGUAACUUGAUGGUGCAUGACUUCAGGAACCUGCUAAGGUGUUACAAGUUUCUGUGACAGUGAAUUACCUUGUGAGCUAAUAGCCUCUUUAAAAAAGAACUUUAAUUGGAUUCAUUCAACAAGAGCUGGUUCUUUCAUGCUGCCACUAGCUGGCAAGUUGACUGGCGAGAAGGAACAAAUGCUGUGGAUUUAUUUUCAGCACACACAGGACAGCGAGUCAAGAAAAGAAGAUUAAAGAAAAGAAGACAGAAGACCUGUCACCUGCCUGAGCCUCUACAAGUCUGUCCUGUUCCUUGAGUUCCCUUUUCUCUAUCCUGAAGACAUCUAUUUACCUUUGCCUCCGCACACUGAGAUGGUGGUAUCAUCCCUAUUUUUUUUGUUGCCCCAACUUUGGCCACUUGUAUUUUGGGCCCUGGCUUCACACCAUUGUUUUAUUUGUGACAGCCAGAUUUUGUGUUAGUUUUUUAAGUUCAAUGUUAUGUUAAUAAAAUAGUAGUUG